rnacentral:piRNA from 1 species
CUCCUGAAGUCAGCGAGACCACGAACCC